rnacentral:misc_RNA from 1 species
GUAGGUGAACCUGCGGAAGGAUCAUUAUCACGUAUCCACGUAUAAACCAUUGUGAACCGUUCUAUUAACCUUUGUUCUCGGAUAAGAUAGUGCGAAUUAAGCGUUCAAACAGCAAUAGUAAUUGAGCUGUUGUUUAAUUCGUCGCAGUCGGUGUUUCUCUCCGGAGUUCCCGAUCGCACUUGCUGAGAAUCAAAGUGUAUUCAAUUACUACUUAUUAACCAUUUUAACCAAUCUUUAUAACUUUAUGAAC